AUAAAUAAGUGAACAUGCCCUCUCUUUCUUUCAUCUGUCCCCAGUUAAAAUAUGUCCUGACCAAAAAAACAAACCAAUAACAAAAAGCGAGGAUAAGGACCUAUCCUUGAAGCAUGGCCCACAGCUGCUUUAUCACAGGAAUCACUGUCAGCAGAUGUCCCAGCACUCCCAACCCCAAGACUGUGAAAUGUGAAAGCAGUGAUAGACUAUUCUCCCUCCUCAAAUCGCUCCCUCCAGGAACAACUGCUAAAAUUUAUAUUUUUUAAGCUAUAUGAGUUUGAAGAACUGAUUUAGUUCUCUGAAACUUAACCAAAGUCAGGUUGUCCCCACAGCUCCUUUGCUUCUCCUGAGAUGUAACCAUUAACUGUGGUGGUGCCUCCAGAAGCCCUGCCUGGGGCUGGCUUGUGGGAACACCUGCUGGAAGCUUGGUGUGAGUCUGCAAAUCCCAGCUCAGAGACACUCGUGUCAAUCCUUAGAGCCUUUCUUCUGGAGAGUCCUGUGAAAAGUUUCAUCACUGGUGUGGAGGGUGCCUGGUGCCCUUCUCAGUCAGCAUCCAAGGCAUCGGAGCCACGAGGGCCCUGGAGAGACACAAAUUCCAAAGAAGAAACAUCUUUUAAGGAAGAAAAGCAAACUGCAAUCAGCCCUUCAGAAAUACCAUUUAACUUUGAGCUACUGAAGGGUGUCUGAUACUGUGGCAGACAAAUUGUGCAUUCCAAAAGCAGAGCCCAUCAUGUGAUAAAGGAGCAGAUGUCUCUUGGAUGGCUUUCCUCCCUGUGUCACAGUAUCAUUAGGAUAGCUACGUGCCAAGAACUGCACUUGGCUUUGUUUCCAUUUCAGGGCAGAAAAGGCAUCAGAGGCUUUUUCCUAGGAAAAGGCACACAAAAGUGCACCAAGCCUUGUGCAGGCAAAGCAGAAGGACAGAGAUAGACAGAUGUGUACACACAUCUGUGCACAUGAACACACACAUCCCAGAGACCCCAGAGAGCCACAGAUGUCAUCACAUUUUAUUCUUCCCUCAAAAGAAUGGGAGUAUCUGAAAAUCUAGGGAGGAAACCUGUGAUGGGGACAUCAAAUAUCCCUGCUGGUGUGAUUGUUAGAUGGGGGCUGUUGCAGUGAUAAUGUAGUUUGUGGGGGUGCAUAGCAAGAAAAAAAAACCUUUUAUUUUCUUCAGUUUAAACUGUGAAGUUGUUAUUGUCUGUUUUGUCUCUCCUGCAUUUUUCUGUAAGUCUCAGGUCUUCUGCUUGUUUGCUUUUACACACACAGGAGCCUGUGCUCUGAAGCUGUCAGAAAACAUCCAUGUAAUGUGCCAUUCCCUCUUAGCUGUGCAGGGAUGUUGCAAUCCCAAAACAUGGAGAUGGAGAGGCUUCAGGUGAGGGAUUUUAGAUCUCUACAAGACAGACAAACAAUGCAACAAGACACACUUGCUGGUUAAAGAACUACACCAGAACAGCUUUAAUGAACAGUCAAGUGCAUGAGCUAUACACUCAUUUUACACACUGUAAAAAUUUGCAUAAGUCUGUCCUAAAUCCCAGGUUUGGUGACAGCAGGAGGGUGUGUGGGUACAUGUGGAGGGAGCGUGGCAGCAGCAGGGUGUCUGCUCCAGGCAGAUCUCCCACAUGGUCCCUCCAGGAGGAUUCCUGUCCCAGGACCCAGCACAGCGUGUCCCAGCUCACUGCCCAGGGGGGUUCACUCCACCCUUUCCAACCCCAGAAAAGGUUGCACGAGUUCAUCCUGCUGGGCCACGGCUCCAAGGGUCUGUGGAGGGGCCUGGCAAGUGCCCUGGCCAGUUCCAGUGGUGACAAAGGCCGCGUAACUCUGGUGGCUCUGGGGUGGUGACAAGAGAAUUUUAGAGUGCUCACAACAGGCAAUGGGUGACAGAUUAUUGUGGAAAAUCGAGACUCUGGAGCAAUCCUUCUUCUGUAUUACAUCUCUCGUUAAUGUUGUCUUAUGUUCUGCUUUCUCAAAAACCAAAGGAUCUUCUAGCAGAUAAAUGCAAUUUUCCCAGCAUUUAUCCCAGCAGUUUCCUGGGACAAUGGUUGCUCCUUUGUGACUCUGGUGGGUACCAACACUUAGGUGACUUGAAAAAUGAAUCAUGCAGCACCACACAGGGCAUGUUAAAUCCACUGAUCUGAAUUUUCCUGUGCUUGAAUUGGAUAAAUUGUAUAAAUUAAUGUUUUACUAAAAUACAGUUGGAUUAUCUAAUGUAUAUUUUUAAUAGGAUCUAAUUGUGGCAUUUUGAGUGAUUUAAAUUUCUGAUACACACACAAAAAAAUCUAUAAACUAGUUCCUGUUACAAAUGUAACUGCCUGGCUACAUUUGUUAAAAUUUAGAGCAGCUUCCCAUCUGUGUGUGCUCCUGAUGUUGAUGUCUCCUCUUGCAGAAGGACAGGUGGGUGCCAGUGAUGGAUUCUCAUCAAAGACACUGAAGAUUUUAAUCUUUUUCCUGACUGACAGCUAGAACAGAUCUUCUGUGACAUUUGGGGAGGAAGAUUUCAGUGCCUCUCCUGUGGAGCCUGUGCUUCCCAAUGAUCAUGACACUGCUCAAAGCAACAGGCAACCUGAAGAGGAAAGUGCCUGGAUCCUGCAGCAGGCUGUCCCAUGAUGGCAUUUAGCAAAGUGCAGGGAUGAAUUACUGCCUGUGCAGCACAGCCAUACAGGGAUGCAGCAGACCAUGCUUAGGACUUGGGGAUUUCCUUUGGCAGAUCUUUGCCCCUUGAGGGUAAAUGAACAUGCUUCCCUGUUGGUAUGUGGGCAGCUGACACUUUUGUUUUAGAGAA